rnacentral:rRNA from 1 species
UGCAGUCGACGAUGAUCCCAGCUUGCUGGGGGAUUAGUGGCGAACGGGUGAGUAACACGUGAGUAACCUGCCCUUAACUCUGGGAUAAGCCUGGGAAACUGGGUCUAAUACCGGAUAUGACUCCUCAUCGCAUGGUGGGGGGUGGAAAGCUUUAUUGUGGUUUUGGAUGGACUCGCGGCCUAUCAGCUUGUUGGUGAGGUAAUGGCUCACCAAGGCGACGACGGGUAGCCGGCCUGAGAGGGUGACCGGCCACACUGGGACUGAGACACGGCCCAGACUCCUACGGGAGGCAGCAGUGGGGAAUAUUGCACAAUGGGCGAAAGCCUGAUGCAGCGACGCCGCGUGAGGGAUGACGGCCUUCGGGUUGUAAACCUCUUUCAGUAGGGAAGAAGCGAAAGUGACGGUACCUGCAGAAGAAGCGCCGGCUAACUACGUGCCAGCAGCCGCGGUAAUACGUAGGGCGCAAGCGUUAUCCGGAAUUAUUGGGCGUAAAGAGCUCGUAGGCGGUUUGUCGCGUCUGCCGUGAAAGUCCGGGGCUCAACUCCGGAUCUGCGGUGGGUACGGGCAGACUAGAGUGAUGUAGGGGAGACUGGAAUUCCUGGUGUAGCGGUGAAAUGCGCAGAUAUCAGGAGGAACACCGAUGGCGAAGGCAGGUCUCUGGGCAUUAACUGACGCUGAGGAGCGAAAGCAUGGGGAGCGAACAGGAUUAGAUACCCUGGUAGUCCAUGCCGUAAACGUUGGGCACUAGGUGUGGGGGACAUUCCACGUUUUC